GUGGGGAAUCUUAGACAAUGGGGGAAACCCUGAUCUAGCCAUGCCGCGUGAGCGAUGAAGGCCUUAGGGUUGUAAAGCUCUUUCAGCUGGGAAGAUAAUGACGGUACCAGCAGAAGAAGCCCCGGCUAACUCCGUGCCAGCAGCCGCGGUAAUACGGAGGGGGCUAGCGUUGUUCGGAAUUACUGGGCGUAACGCGCGCGUAGGCGGAUCGGAAAGUUGGGGGUGAAAUCCCGGGGCUCAACCCCGGAAUUGCCUUCAAAACUCCCGGUCUUGAGGUCGAGAGAGGUGGGUGGAAUUCCGAGUGUAGAGGUGAAAUUCGUAGAUAUUGGGAAGAACACCGGUGGCGAAGGCGACCACCUGGCUAGGUUCUGACGCUGAGGCGCGACAGCGUGGGGAGCAAACAGGAUUAGAAACCCUGGUAGUCC
rnacentral:rRNA from 1 species